CUCGGCCCGGCUCCCUGCUCUGACCCUGAUCCUGACUCGUCCCCUCAUCCAGCCCUCUGUAUCCUGGGGUAACACCAUUCCCCGAGCUGCAACCUCUCACUCCCCUGCGUAUUUCUCAGGGAGUAAAGUUUCUCCCAACCACAGGAUAAAUGAACGACUGGACACAGAGGGAUGGGAGAAAAUAGGGGGACUAAGGAUUUUAUGCCCCUGAAACAGCAACAGGUAUCAGUCUGUGCCAGACUCCUUGUUUCUCCUGCUGGAGCACAUAUCAAUACCUAAUGGCUCUGCUCUCAUCACUGCUGCUGCUUUCCUGCUCCCAGUAUUGAGGUUCUUUCAUUUUCACAGAUAUGCAAAGAAUUCCAAGCACCUGGGAUCAAAAAGAUUUCUUGACAUAAAAUAUUUCAGAGUGAUUGCAGCAUGACUCAUUCUUUCUGAAGAGCUGGAGCUGGCCAUAGAAACAUCAGCUCCCUCAUACAGGAUGAGCUCAUCGCUUGUCAUACACAUGCACCUCCCAUGGAAGGGGGUUCAGGCAGGGGCAGGGGACUCCUGCAACCCUGCUGGCCAUGUCCCUGCACCCCAUCCAUCCUGGUGUAUCUGCUGCAGAUGGAAAAUCCUAAAUCUAGAACAGUCUUCCUGAGGCUUGGGGCAAACUGGAGAAAUGCCCUGUGUGCCUUGAUUACUCUGUGAAGUAAUUGCUCCUGCCGCCCUGAGAUCAUUUUGCUCAUAACCAGCCCAAAAGAUCUCAGAGUGGUAGAGGAAGACAGAAUGGUUUUUUGUGUCCUGCCUUUGUCUAUGCUGACUUCAUCCUGUCCUCGUGAGUUUGCUGGUGUGCACCAGUGCUCCCUCAGAACUGGUGGGAUCCUUUGCAGUGGGAAAUGCUCCCCCAUGUCAAGCUGGCUGACCAGGAGAUGCUGAACAGAUGUCUGAAUGGCCUGAGUGUCCAUGUGCUACUGUCCUGCUCCAGCCCCACCUUUCUCCCUCUUUUGACCACAUGCCAAAAUCCCAGCCCAUGCCUCUAGUGGGGCUGCAGGGAUGCUGCUUUUGUUCAUCUGUGUCCAACCCUGUCACCAUCUGUGAACAAGCUCUCUCACUGGCCUGUCUCCAGGAUGCUGCACCUGAACCUGUGGAAAUGAAGUUCCCCAGUGCUCUCCACACCUCCUCAAAGUGUUAAUGAGAUGAUGGACCACAUACAGAGCAGUUGUGACACUCGGGCUCCUGAUGUGCAGAGGGCUGUCAGUGCAGAGAGCAGAGGCAGGGACCAGACUCGCCAUGGCUGAGGUGAUGACCAAUGGAUCUGGCUCCAAGAAAGGCUGGAGAGCUGCAAAAAGUGCCUGUAGAAAUCUGCUCCAUUUGAUUUUGCCGUUGACCUCAUCUUGUCAAAAGAUCUGCGUCUGGAAAUGCAGGGACUUCUGCUGGAUCACCUCAGGGGCCUGCUGGCUUUUUCCAAGAAAGCACCAGCUAUGAAAAAGAGAAAUUCACUGCAAGAGAGCUGUAUCGACUCUUCCCCAAUAUGUCAUAUUUAUCCAUCUGUUCCCUAACGAUGCCAGUUUCCUCCUCCGUAUGCCAAUUUUUGUUCAUUUGCAGAGAACAGAUGUGUCAUUUAUCAGCCUGGGACUCCCUGGCUGCCUCCCAGGAAGCAAUUCUGGUGUCACAGUUGCCACCUUCCAGUCCUCACGUCCCCUGCUGUACCCAGACCCUGGAGUUGGUUCGGCUGUCACCCAGCAGAUGUGACAUCCCCUUGGUCCCUGCUGUGCUGCACAGUGGGUGGAUGUGGCUUGCUCCCGGGAGGAAAGGAGCAGGCACACAGGCACUCCAAAGCUCCUGCAAAUGGCUUUUGUUUGAAGCUGUGGAAGCAUCUGGAGAUUCAAGGCUUCCCUGCAAGCCAGGGUCGAUGCUGGCAUCAGGGGAAGGAGUCCACCCAGCACCUGACUCAAGUGACACGUGGGGAAGUGUCAGAUCAGCCCCCACAUUACCUGGGGCUGAGUCAGCGGGAGUGUGCAGGGGCAGAGACCUUCUGCUCUGAGUCACCGGAUGCUGCUGCCUGGGGGACGCUGGGCUGUGUCCGCACCACCCAAGGUUAAA